rnacentral:tRNA from 1 species
GCGGACGUGGCGGAAUCGGUAGACGCAACGGACUUAAAAUCCGUUGGCCGCAAGGCCGUGAGGGUUCGAGUCCCUCCGCCCGCACCA